rnacentral:rRNA from 1 species
GUGAUCCUAUGCUGCCGAGAAAAGCCUCUAGUGAGUUCAUACACGGCCCGUACCCCAAACCGACACAGGUGAUCAGGUAGAGAAUACCAAGGCGAUCGAGAGAACUGUGGUUAAGGAACUCGGCAAAAUGCCCCCGUAACUUCGGGAGAAGGGGGACCAUGCCCGGUGAACAUCUUCACGGUGGGAGCUGGGUGUGGUCGCAGAGACCAGAGAGAAGCGACUGUUUACUAAAAACACAGGUCCGUGCGAAGACGUAAGUCGAUGUAUACGGACUGACGCCUGCCCGGUGCUGGAAGGUUAAGAGGACCGGUUAGCCGUAAGGCGAAGCUGAGAAUUUAAGCCCCAGUAAACGGCGGUGGUAACUAUAACCAUCCUAAGGUAGCGAAAUUCCUUGUCGGGUAAGUUCCGACCUGCACGAAUGGCGUAACGACUUCUCUGCUGUCUCGACCACAGACUCGGCGAAAUUGCACUACGAGUAAAGAUGCUCGUUACGCGCGGCAGGACGAAAAGACCCCGGGACCUUUACUAUAGCUUGGUAUUGGCGUUCGAUUCGGUUUGUGUAGGAUAGGUGGGAGACUGUGAAGCAUGCACGCCAGUGUGUGUGGAGUCGUUGUUGAAAUACCACUCUGAUCGUAUUGGACGUCUAACCUCGGCCCAUGAUCUGGGUUAGGGACAGUGCCUGGUGGGUAGUUUAACUGGGGCGGUUGCCUCCUAAAGAGUAACGGAGGCGCCCAAAGGUUCCCUCAGCCUGGAUGGCAAUCAGGUGUUGAGUGCAAGUGCACAAGGGAGCUUGACUGUGAGACUGACACGUCGAGCAGGGACGAAAGUCGGGACUAGUGAUCCGGCACCGGCAAGUGGAAGCGGUGUCGCUCAACGGAUAAAAGGUACCCCGGGGAUAACAGGCUGAUCUUCCCCAAGAGUCCAUAUCGACGGGAUGGUUUGGCACCUCGAUGUCGGCUCGUCGCAUCCUGGGGCUGGAGUAGGUCCCAAGGGUUGGGCUGUUCGCCCAUUAAAGCGGCACGCGAGCUGGGUUUAGAACGUCGUGAGACAGUUCGGUCUCUAUCCGCCGCGCGCGUAAGAAACUUGAGGAAGGCUGUCCCUAGUACGAGAGGACCGGGACGGACGAACCUCUGGUGUGCCAGUUGUUCCACCAGGAGCAUGGCUGGUUAGCUACGUUCGGAAGGGAUAACCGCUGAAAGCAUCUAAGCGGGAAGCCUGUUCCAAGAUGAGGUUUCUCACCACCUUGCGUGGUUAAGGCCCCCUACAGACCAUGGGGUUGAUAGGCCGGAACUGGAAGCGCAGCAAUGCGUGGAGGUGACCGGUACUAAUAGGCCGAGGGCUUAGAA